rnacentral:rRNA from 1 species
GGUUAAGCGACUAAGCGUACACGGUGGAUGCCUAGGCAGUCAGAGGCGAUGAAGGGCGUGCUAAUCUGCGAAAAGCGUCGGUAAGGUGAUAUGAACCGUUACAACCGACGAUACCCGAAUGGGGAAACCCAGUGCAAUUCGUUGCACUAUUGCAUGGUGAAUACAUAGCCAUGCAAGGCGAACCGGGGGAACUGAAACAUCUAAGUACCCCGAGGAAAAGAAAUCAACCGAGAUUCCCCCAGUAGCGGCGAGCGAACGGGGAGGAGCCCAGAACCGGAAUCAGCGUAUGUGUUAGUGGAAGCGUCUGGAAAGUCGCACGGUACAGGGUGAUAGCCCCGUACACAAAAAUGCAUAUGUUGUGAGUGCGAUGAGUAGGGCGGGACACGUGACAUCCUGUCUGAAUAUGGGGGGACCAUCCUCCAAGGCUAAAUACU